AAAGUGUGCCCAUUUUACAGAUAAGAAAGACAAGCCUCAGAGAAAUAAAAAAUUUAUCAGCCACCGGGUGACAGAGGCGGCUCUAAUCCAGUGAUUCCUUCCCUCCUUCCUCAUCUUGUCUUCCUGGUUCAAGGUUAGCUCCCAGAGCUCAUUCCCGGGAGGAAACAGUUCUGGGUGACUGAUUCACUGAUCAGCUUGGUUUGGGUUUCAUAAAACGCUGUGCUGGAACACUGAGUCGGUACUUCUCCCAAGUUUCCAGUUCGGAGACACGAGGAGAAUGCUAAAAGCUCGAAUAUGCAAAUGAACAUUUGGACAGAUUUCCUCUAGAGUUUCGGCCUCCAGGCAAAUGAUUUAUUCCCUGCAGAAAUGCAUUUUUGUUUCUGCUUAACGGGUGAAAAAGGAGAAAAGAUUUUUCGGGACAACCAAGCUUAGGAAUAAAAGUCUCCAUGGGAAAUGUACUUUUCUGAAAGCAAAUGUUGGCUAAACAAGGACAGUGUUGACUAAACACGUGUUCCCCUCACCCAAAGGAAUGGAGUCAGAGAAUCCCCCAAGCUCCAAAUUGUGGGGGCAGAUGGAUCUUUUAGAAGUUCACGGUUCGCCUUUCUCCUGCCCAGCCCCAUGCCUUAAGCAAAGUGUGGGAUGGUCUCGGGAGGACACCCACAAAUGUAAGUAGGAAGGUGGGAAGCAGCCUCUCCUCUAAUAUAGAAAAACAACUGUGACAGACAGAACAAAGCAUGUGGUUCAGACACGAGACCCUGAGCUAGCCCUGGGGAGGGAGACAGCAGCUUUGCAGCCGUUAUCCUCAGGAAGCCCUGAGCGCUGAGAGGCACUGUUACAGAACCGAACUGGGGUCCACUCGCUAGGCCUACCUAGGUGCCUGGAAUUUCCCUUCGAGGAACGCAGGAGUUUUCUUUAUUUUCAUGCUUGGGAAGGCUCAUUAGGCCCCUAAGAGAGGGUCCCUUCCCCAUCUCAGGACUAAAAUGCAAUGAAGAUGUUGCUCAGAGGCAGCUGGAGAGGGAUGGGUCUGUGGAGGAUGCCCCGCAGAGUGAAGUCGAGAUGAUGCAGCCACCAGGGCCGGAGGGGAGGGACAUUCCACUUUUUAAAUCAGCUUUCUGAAGCAUGAUCUCCAUAUAAUCACCUAGAAGCGUACAGCACAAUGAUCUUGACAGAUGCCAGCAUCCUUGGAACCACUGCCACCACCAACGUCUCAAACCAUUCCAUCAAACCCAGAACACUCCUGGUGCCCUGAAGCGUCUCCCUUCAGUGGCAGAACCAGCAGAGAUUCAGUGGUCACAAGGCUGGUCUGGAACUCCUGGGUGCAAGCGAUCCUUCCACCUCGGCCUCCCAAAGUGCUGGGAUUAGAGGCAUAAGCCACCGCGCCCAGCCAGGAAUGGAUUUUCUCACAGUUCUCGAUGGCGGAAGUCUGAGAUCAAGGUCUUGGCAGGGCUAGGUCUCUCUGAGGCCUUUCUCCCCAGCUUAUAGGUCGCCGCCUCCUCUCUCUGUCUUUCCUUGUCUUCCUUGUGUCCACAGUUGUGUCCAAAUUCCCCUUUCUCAUAAGGACGUCAGUCAUGUUGGAUUAGGGCCCUCCCUCCUGACCUUGUUUUAGCUUAAUCUCUGCAACUUAACCCUUAACCUCAGUAAAGAUCCUAUUUCCAAAUGUGUUCACAUUCUGAGGUCCUGAGGAUUAGGACUUUGAAAGGAUUAAAACAGGCUCUUCUGGCAUAUUGACAAUUUCAGCUAAAGACUCUUGAGAAACAGCAGGUGCAAAAAGAUCACAGUGACCUCCAUGCUGUACCUUGAGAUGAAAUUCCAAUGCGAAAGAUGCCCUCUCCACCCUAGAAGGGAAAGCAACAUCCUUAUCUUUGGGAGUGAAAAGUCCAAACUGAGAGCAUACUUGCCUUUCUCUGGAGGGGCUCUGCCAGCAUGAAUUCCUUUACGGGUGGAAGCCUCACAGUCCAGUCUACCAGUGAGGUCCACAUGGGAUUGGCUGGAGGGAGCUACGAAGUCAAGCGGCGUCAGACUGCAGUCUCCAGCCUCACCCCCUGGGCCACCCACCCUCCC
rnacentral:lncRNA from 1 species